rnacentral:rRNA from 1 species
GAUGAACGCUGGCGGCGUGCUUAACACAUGCAAGUCGAACGAUGAUGCCCAGCUUGCUGGGUGGAUUAGUGGCGAACGGGUGAGUAACACGUGAGUAACCUGCCCUUGACUCUGGGAUAAGCCUGGGAAACUGGGUCUAAUACCGGAUACGACCAUCUGGCGCAUGUCAUGGUGGUGGAAAGCUUUUGUGGUUUUGGAUGGACUCGCGGCCUAUCAGCUUGUUGGUGGGGUAAUGGCCUACCAAGGCGACGACGGGUAGCCGGGCUGAGAGGGUGACCGGCCACACUGGGACUGAGACACGGCCCAGACUCCUACGGGAGGCAGCAGUGGGGAAUAUUGCACAAGGGGCGCAAGCCUGAUGCAGCGACGCCGCGUGAGGGAUGACAGCCUUCGGGUUGGAAACCUCUUUCAGUAGGGAAGAAGCGAAAGUGACGGUACCUGCAGAAGAAGCGCCGGCUAACUACGUG